rnacentral:rRNA from 1 species
UACGUAGGGGGCAAGCGUUGUCCGGAUUUAUUGGGCGUAAAGAGCGUGUAGGCGGCCAUGCAGGUCAGCUGUGAAAACUCGAGGCUCAACCUCGAGACGUCGGUUGAAGCCGUAUGGCUAGAGUCCGGAAGAGGAGAGUGGAAUUCCCGGUGUAGCGGUGGAAUGCGUAGAGAUCGGGAAGAACACCCGUGGCGAAGGCGACGUGCUGGGCUGUUUCUGACGCUGAGAUGCGAAAGUGUGGGGAGCAAACGGG